AACGCUAGCUACAGGCUUAACACAUGCAAGUCGAGGGGAAACGAUAGAGAAAGCUUGCUUUUUCUAGGCGUCGACCGGCGCACGGGUGAGUAACGCGUAUCCAACCUACCUCUAACUAAGGAAUAGCCCGUUGAAAGACGGAUUAAUGCCUUAUGUUCUCUUUUGCAGGCAUCUAAUGAAGAGUAAAGACUUGUUGGUUAGGGAUGGGGAUGCGUCCGAUUAGCUUGACGGUGAGGUAACGGCUCACCGUGGCGACGAUCGGUAGGGGUUCUGAGAGGAAGGUCCCCCACAUUGGAACUGAGACACGGUCCAAACUCCUACGGGAGGCAGCAGUGAGGAAUAUUGGUCAAUGGACGGAAGUCUGAACCAGCCAAGUAGCGUGCAGGAUGACGGCCCUAUGGGUUGUAAACUGCUUUUAUGUGGGGAUAAAGUUCGGGACGUGUCCUGAUUUGCAGGUACCGCAUGAAUAAGGACCGGCUAAUUCCGUGCCAGCAGCCGCGGUAAUACGGAAGGUCCGGGCGUUAUCCGGAUUUAUUGGGUUUAAAGGGAGCGUAGGCUGGAGAUUAAGCGUGUUGUGAAAUGCCGCGGCUCAACCGUGGCACUGCAGCGCGAACUGGUUUCCUUGAGUGCGCUGAAAGUGGGCGGAAUUUGUGGUGUAGCGGUGAAAUGCUUAGAUAUCACGAAGAACUCCGAUUG
rnacentral:rRNA from 1 species